rnacentral:tRNA from 1 species
GAAACCCCUCGCGAGACUCGAACUCGCAAUCUUCUGAUUAGAAGUCAGACGCGUUAACCAUUACGCCAGAGGGGCC